UCCGGUUUGUCACCGGCAGUCUCUCUAGAGCGGCAUGGUGUAUGUCAAACCCAGGUAAGGUUCUUCGCGUUGCAUCGAAUUAAUCCGCAUGCUCCGCCGCUUGUGCGGGCCCCCGUCAAUUCCUUUGAGUUUUAGCCUUGCGGCCGUACUCCCCAGGCGGGGCGCUUAAUGCGUUAGCUACGGCACGGAACCCGUGGAAACAGAUCCCACACCUAGCGCCCAACGUUUACGGUGUGGACUAC
rnacentral:misc_RNA from 1 species